CAGCCACAUUGACUUCAGAUUCUAAUGGGGUUCUGGCCACGAGUUUGCCCUUGUCAGUAAAGGCCUGAAAUUGAGCCCUGUCCUCCUGAGGGCUCCUGUCUGGGAGGUGCCGUGAACCUAGAUUGCUGCGGGGGGCAAAAGUGCUUCCUGGAAGCUGGUGGCAUGUAAAGGCCUAAGGAACGAAGGGUGGCCCUCGAGUUCUUGAGGCUGUGAAGUUUUGCGUCCAUCUGCUCCGAAAACAGGGAGAUCCCGGACAGACCGCUGAAUUUAAUGAGGGAGACCAGAGGAUUGGAGCCAUGAACAAUGCCUCAUGGUGACUGUAGACGCCAUAGUCGCGGCUGCCGAGUUGGCCACAUCCAGAGCUGCCUAGAGGGAGGUCCUGGCCACACUCUUGCUCUCCUCCAGAAUGGCUGCAAACUCCUGCCUCAACUCCUGUAGAAGGGAGUCAUUAAAACUGGACAAUAAGUUCCAUAGAUCAAAAUCGUGCCUCCACAGCAAAGCCUAUUAGUUAGAGAUACAUAACUGGGGGCUACCCUUCGAAUAAACUUUUUGUCCAAACAGG